GGCUGGUUGCGCGUGUCCGCCGCUGGCUCCGGUCUAUCCGGCUUUGCUAGGGGAGGUGAGUCCGGCCGCGGCGGCACCGGCGGCUGAGGAGGCGGCGGCUGAGGAGAAAGCGGCCGCGGCGGCUGAGGAGAAAGCGGCCGCGGGGACGGAAGCCGGGUGGGGGGGAGGGGGGGAGACGGAGCAGCCUUGAGCCCUGAGGGGCCGUCGCGCGGGGGACCCACCCGCUCUCCCCCCCAACCCUCCUCAGCAGAAGCAGCCGGCGGCGGGGGCAGGAGUCAGCCCGCUUCCGACCGUACUCCGCCCGCCUCCCGGGGCUCCUAUUCUUUGGCCCCGGGACCCUAACCUUCUCCCGGGGCGGUUCCCGCUGUCUGGGCGUCCGAGCGCUGCCCACAUCUUUCAUUCUUCCUUGCACCUCCUUCCCUUCACUUUUGCCCUAGCUCUCUUUCUCCUCUCUGUCCUGCUGUCGCCUCCUCUCCUCACUCCAGCCUCCUUCCCUGGCUCAUUCUGCCCAGGAAAGUUUAGAACCCCCGCCCCCCCCUCCCCAAUCAGGUCAACCUGACUAGGAGUAGGGGGAGAUGUAGGAAGGCCUGAGAGUUCGAGGGGGGGGGGACGCUGGAAGCUGGUUUCCCAGAAAAUUUCCCCCCAUCUUCUCCAUUUAGGGUAGUGGGAAUUUUUUUUAAUCCUGUUUUUGAGGAGGUGGUAGGUGUUUAGAAAAGGAUGUGGGAAUGGAAGGGGUAGAUGAUUCAACCCUCUUUCAAGAUUCCAAGGGUGGUGUGUUACCUGAUCCUUUUCGUGUGUGGAGUUCAGGGGGUCGGGAGGUUUGGCCUUUAUUCCCACAUUCAAAGUUGGAACCUCCCCCAAAUUAAGAAUGGAGUUUUAGUACCCACUUGUGGCAGGAAUCCUGGGGGGAAGGGGUCCUUUUUUCCUUUUUCUUUUCUUUUUUCCUUUUUUUUUUCCUUUUGGCAACCCACACCCUUCCACACACGCUCACCCCAAAAUUAAACACCAAGAUCCUCUAACUUGUUUGGAUUGACUGAUGAAGACAUAAAGCCAGUUACGCUCUAUGUUUUUUGAGGUGGAGUGAGUGGUUUUUCUUCAUUUUUAAAUGGCCAAAUGACAGCUUGACCCAGUUUGCUUUCCAAUCAAAGGGCAUUUAUUUUGAAUGUCUCUUUGUGGCGCAAGAGCCAACGCAAAAAUGAUGGCGGCUUACAAUGGCGGUACAUCUGCAGCAGCAGCAGGUCACCACCACCACCAUCACCACCACCUUCCACACCUCCCUCCUCCUCACCUGCACCACCACCACCACCCUCAACACCAUCUUCAUCCGGGGUCGGCUGCCGCUGUACACCCUGUACAGCAGCACACCUCUUCGGCAGCUGCGGCAGCCGCAGCAGCGGCUGCAGCUGCAGCCAUGUUAAACCCUGGGCAACAACAGCCAUAUUUCCCAUCACCGGCACCGGGGCAGGCUCCUGGACCAGCUGCAGCAGCCCCAGCUCAGGUACAGGCUGCCGCAGCUGCUACAGUUAAGGCGCACCAUCAUCAGCACUCGCAUCAUCCACAACAGCAGCUGGAUAUUGAGCCGGAUAGACCUAUUGGAUAUGGAGCCUUUGGUGUUGUCUGGUCAGUAACAGAUCCAAGAGAUGGAAAGAGAGUAGCACUCAAAAAGAUGCCCAACGUCUUCCAGAAUCUGGUCUCUUGCAAAAGGGUCUUCCGGGAAUUGAAGAUGUUGUGUUUUUUUAAGCAUGAUAAUGUACUCUCUGCCCUUGACAUACUCCAACCUCCACACAUUGACUAUUUUGAAGAAAUAUAUGUUGUCACAGAAUUGAUGCAGAGUGACCUACAUAAAAUUAUCGUCUCUCCUCAACCACUCAGCUCAGAUCAUGUCAAAGUUUUUCUUUAUCAGAUUUUGCGAGGUUUGAAAUAUCUCCAUUCAGCUGGCAUUUUACAUCGAGACAUUAAGCCAGGGAAUCUCCUUGUGAACAGCAACUGUGUUCUAAAGAUUUGUGAUUUUGGAUUGGCCAGAGUGGAAGAAUUAGAUGAAUCCCGUCAUAUGACUCAGGAAGUUGUUACUCAGUAUUACCGGGCUCCGGAAAUCCUGAUGGGCAGCCGUCAUUACAGCAAUGCUAUUGACAUCUGGUCUGUGGGAUGUAUCUUUGCAGAACUACUAGGACGAAGAAUAUUGUUUCAGGCACAGAGUCCCAUUCAGCAGUUGGAUUUGAUCACGGAUCUGUUGGGCACACCAUCACUGGAAGCAAUGAGGACAGCUUGUGAAGGCGCUAAGGCACAUAUACUCAGGGGUCCUCAUAAACAGCCAUCUCUUCCUGUACUCUAUACCCUGUCUAGCCAGGCUACACAUGAAGCUGUUCAUCUCCUUUGCAGGAUGUUGGUCUUUGAUCCAGUCUCUAAUUUGAUUUCAGUCCAAAAGAAUAUCCGCUAAGGAUGCCUUAGCCCACCCCUACCUAGAUGAAGGGCGACUACGAUAUCACACAUGUAUGUGUAAAUGUUGCUUUUCCACCUCUACUGGAAGAGUUUAUACCAGUGACUUUGAGCCUGUUACCAAUCCCAAAUUUGAUGACACUUUUGAGAAGAACCUCAGUUCUGUCCGACAGGUUAAAGAAAUUAUUCAUCAGUUCAUUUUGGAACAGCAGAAAGGAAACAGAGUGCCUCUCUGCAUCAACCCUCAGUCUGCUGCUUUUAAGAGCUUUAUUAGUUCCACUGUUGCUCAGCCAUCUGAGAUGCCCCCAUCUCCUCUGGUGUGGGAGUAAUGGUGGAAGAUAAUGUACUACUGAAGAUGUAAUGUAGCUUUCCACUGGAGUCUGGGAUUUGCAAUUCUGGAGGUUAAUCAUGCUUGUACUGUAAUUUUACUAAUGAAGUUUUAAAUUAACAACCACUACUUGUAUGAUAUGAAUAAUAUUUAGAAAUGUUACUAGACUUUUAAUCUUGUAAAGUGGUUGUGCUUUUAGAAGAAAAAUAUUUUACCCAGAGUUGCACAUGUUUUAUGAAUUUAGUGCAGCUGUUGUGGCUCACCUCAGAACAAAAGAGAAUUGAACCAAAUUUGGGAGUUUGGGAUUUUAUGUUUUUGUUUUGUUUUUCUUUUCUAAAAUGAAGUGAGAUUGUUCACACACACACACACAAAGGACAGUCAUACAUUUUGAUAUUUGAGCCAUUCCUAAAGAUUUGGGGUUUUCUAAAACUAAAGAAUCUAGAAACCUUGCCUGCAACCAAUCAUGGAGCCACAUGAGCUGAUCGUGGCUGCACCUGGGGGGAGGGUAGGGAAGAGGGGCAUGCCACCUAAUGAUCAAGCCCUAUAAUUAGCUUCUCAUUAGAGCCGUGAUGGUGAUGUGUGCUGUCUAAAAUCCAAUGUUGUGGGUAGAGAGAAUGAGUUUGUGACUAGGAGAGACUAAACUUUUGUUUUCCUUACCCAGUAUAAAUAUAUAUAUAUAUAUUUAAUCUAUUUUUAUUAGAAGUUUUUCUGCUCUUUCUUACAUAAAAGAACCCCAAGCAUGCAUCUUUCAUGUGUGUAAAUAAUUCAUUUCUGGGCUAAUUUCAAAAGAAUCCCAACAUUGCUGUAUAGAAAGAGAACUAGCUUGCACAUUUUAGGUCUGUGAAAUUUUGUGAGACUUUUCCUGCACUGGACAGUAAAAAAAAUAAUAAAAGACAAAAACAAAUUAAAAAAAAAUUUAAGCCACAAAAAAGGCACAUAGGGAAUUAUGUCAAAUGUGUUUGUGUCCUUAGGCAAAGCUGUGGGAGUCUUGAAAUGUCACAGUAGUAAAUAACUUAUUACUUUUUGACAAGUUCUUUUUUUCUGUUGGAACACUGAAUUCUUCUGUGCAUAUGUACAUAUGAAUACAAAUCGAAGGCCUCUACCUCCUGGAGUUAUACAACUUGGCUUGUUUACCUCCACAUGCUGAUGAUGACUAUUUUUUUUUUUUUUAAGUUCAGUGUGGAGACUUGAAACUUGAAUGUCCCUUCCAACUUUUAUAUUAAAAAUAAAAAGACAAGAAAAUUGAAGAUCAUUUUUCACCUGUACAAGGAAUACUAAUGGAUCGUCUUAAAAUUGGUCUAGGAAAAAACCUUGGUGUGUGUUAUGGACAAUUAACUGUUAAAGUUAUUGUAAGUUAUCUGUAUUUAGCAGAGUAUUUUCAACUUGAGUGAUCUGAGCUGAAUUUGAAGACUAUUAAUAAGUUAUGUUUGGAAGUUUUAACUUCAAUGAAGUAAUUAUUUGCUGUGAAAGAAACAAACAUUGAAUUACUAAACAAAGAUGGUGCAAUAUCUUUGUUUUUUUUUUAUGAGGCUCCUGAGAAUCAACCCAACUGAAGCAUUUCAAUUCACUUGAAUGAGAAACGUGUUUAGUAUCAAAAGAGCCCAAGAAGACACUGGUGUGAAAGGUACAAUCUCAGAGGUUGGUCAAUUACCGUGGCACACUUUCUGGUCACUUUGUACAAUGUAGAUUUGAAGUACAGUGGUGAAAACAUUAAAUGUGACAUUUGAAAAA